UCCUUCUAUGAAAGCAGAGGUUAGUGCUCUCCCUGACAAGAAUGGAAGACACCCUAAUGACCCACACAACACAUAUUUGGUUAAAGCACUAGCCCCCAUGUUCAGGGGGAAAAAAAAACAACAUACUUU